rnacentral:rRNA from 1 species
GAGCUUGCUCCCUGAUGUUAGCGGCGGACGGGUGAGUAACACGUGGGUAACCUGCCUGUAAGACUGGGAUAACUCCGGGAAACCGGGGCUAAUACCGGAUGGUUGUUUGAACCGCAUGGUUCAAACAUAAAAGGUGGCUUCGGCUACCACUUACAGAUGGACCCGCGGCGCAUUAGCUAGUUGGUGAGGUAACGGCUCACCAAGGCAACGAUGCGUAGCCGACCUGAGAGGGUGAUCGGCCACACUGGGACUGAGACACGGCCCAGACUCCUACGGGAGGCAGCAGUAGGGAAUCUUCCGCAAUGGACGAAAGUCUGACGGAGCAACGCCGCGUGAGUGAUGAAGGUUUUCGGAUCGUAAAGCUCUGUUGUUAGGGAAGAACAAGUACCGUUCGAAUAGGGCGGUACCUUGACGGUACCUAACCAGAAAGCCACGGCUAACUACGUGCCAGCAGCCGCGGUAAUACGUAGGUGGCAAGCGUUGUCCGGAAUUAUUGGGCGUAAAGGGCUCGCAGGCGGUUUCUUAAGUCUGAUGUGAAAGCCCCCGGCUCAACCGGGGAGGGUCAUUGGAAACUGGGGAACUUGAGUGCAGAAGAGGAGAGUGGAAUUCCACGUGUAGCGGUGAAAUGCGUAGAGAUGUGGAGGAACACCAGUGGCGAAGGCGACUCUCUGGUCUGUAACUGACGCUGAGGAGCGAAAGCGUGGGGAGCGAACAGGAUUAGAUACCCUGGUAGUCCACGCCGUAAACGAUGAGUGCUAAGUGUUAGGGGGUUUCCGCCCCUUAGUGCUGCAGCUAACGCAUUAAGCACUCCG